rnacentral:rRNA from 1 species
CCUACGGGUGGCAGCAGUGAGGAAUAUUGGUCAAUGGGCGAGAGCCUGAACCAGCCAAGUCGCGUGAAGGAUGACGGCCCUACGGGUUGUAAACUUCUUUUGUCAGGGAGCAAUUUAUUCCACGUGUGGGCUUAGCUAGAGUACCUGUAGAUAAAGCAUCGGCUAACUCCUUGCAAGAAGCCGCGGUAAUACGGAGGAUGCGAGCGUUAUCCGGUUUUAUUGGGUUUAAGGGGUGCGUAGGGGGCAUAUCAGGUCAGCGGUAAAAAUUCGGGGCUCAACCCAGUCGUGCCGUUGAAACUGAUGGUCUUGAGUGGGCGUGAAGUAGGCGGAAUGCGUGGUGUAGCGGUGAAAUGCAUAGAUAUCACGCAGAACUCCGAUUGCGAAGGCAGCAUACCGGGGCACAACUGACGCUGAAGCACGAAAGCGUGGGUAUCGAACAGGAUUAGAUACCCCUGUAGUC